UUGGCGCUAGGCUGCCUGAGAAGAGGGGAAUUCCGACUCCUGUGAAUGGAAGAGCUGCAUGUUAAAGGGCAUUUUUAUUUCUAUUUGUGCAGGCCUCUGCAAUAAAGAACAACCAGCAACUCCUAUGGUCUGACUCCCUUCUUCAUCUGAACACAACGCAGAACACAUCAAGGUUAACCGACUGUAUAAGACUAGGUUAUCAGUGAAGAACACUAGUAGUAUACACCGGUUACAUACAGACUGAUAAAUAAGUAAAUAACUUCCACAUUAACAAGAAAAUGUCAUUAGAGUGAUUUCGUCAUAGCAGUGAACUGGUGGCGACCCAGAG